rnacentral:rRNA from 1 species
GACUCUCGGCAACGGAUAUCUCGGCUCUCGCCACGAUGAAGAAUGUAGCGAAAUGCGAUACUUAGUGUGAAUUGCAGAAUCCCGUGAAUCAUCGAGUCUUUGAACGCAAGUUGCGCCCGAGGCCUCGGCCGAGGGCACGUCUGCUUGGGCGUCGCACUGCAA